UACCAGCACCCCGAGUGGUCGGGACGAUUAUUGGGCCUAAAGCAUCCGUAGCCGGUUUUACAAGUCCUCCGUUAAAUCCAACUGCUUAACAGAUGGGCUGCGGAGGAUACUAUAAGACUAGGAGGCAGGAGAGGCAAGCGGUACUCAGUGGGUAGGGGUAAAAUCCAUUGAUCCAUUGAAGACCACCAGUGGCGAAGGCGGCUUGCCAGAAUGCGCUCGACGGUGAGGGAUGAAAGCUGGGGGAGCAAACCGG
rnacentral:rRNA from 1 species